rnacentral:rRNA from 1 species
AACGAACGCUGGCGGCAUGCCUAACACAUGCAAGUCGAACGAGACCUUCGGGUCUAGUGGCGCACGGGUGCGUAACGCGUGGGAGUCUGCCCUUGGGUUCGGAAUAACAGCGAGAAAUUGCUGCUAAUACCGGAUGAUGACGUAAGUCCAAAGAUUUAUCGCCCAAGGAUGAGCCCGCGUAGGAUUAGCUAGUUGGUGAGGUAAAGGCUCACCAAGGCGACGAUCCUUAGCUGGUCUGAGAGGAUGAUCAGCCACACUGGGACUGAGACACGGCCCAGACUCCUACGGGAGGCAGCAGUGGGGAAUAUUGGACAAUGGGCGAAAGCCUGAUCCAGCAAUGCCGCGUGAGUGAUGAAGGCCUAGGGUUGUAAAGCUCUUUUACCCGGGAUGAUAAUGACAGUACCGGAGAAUAAGCUCCGGCUAACUCCGUGCCAGCAGCCGCGGUAAU